AAUGAACGUUGGCGGCGUGGAUUAGGCAUGCAAGUCGAGCGAGAAUCGUAGCAAUACGAGGACAGCGGCGCAAGGGACAGUAAUGUGUAGAUUAUCUGCCCUCAGGUCCGGGAUAGCUGCGGGAAACUGCAGGUAAUACCGGAUAACAUCUCCGGAUCAAAGGUGUGAUUCCGCCUGAGGAUGAGUCUGCAUCCUAUUAGCUAGUUGGCAGGGUAACGGCCUACCAAGGCAUUGAUGGGUAGCGGGUGUGAGAGCACGACCCGCGUCAUUGGGACUGAGACACUGCCCAUACACCGACGGGUGGCUGCAGUCGAGAAUCUUCGGCAAUGGGCGCAAGCCUGACCGAGCGACGCCGCGUGUGGGAUGAAGGCCUUCGGGUUGUAAACCACUGUCAGAGGGGAUGAAAUGCAGGUGGGUUCUCCCAUCUGUUUGACAUAGCCUCAGAGGAAGGACGGGCUAAGUUCGUGCCAGCAGCCGCGGUAACAC
rnacentral:rRNA from 1 species